GAUGAACGCUAGCUACAGGCUUAACACAUGCAAGUCGAGGGGCAGCGAGUUGUAGCAAUACAAUGUCGGCGACCGGCGGAAGGGUGCGUAACGCGUGAGCAACAUGCCCGUAUCUGGGGGAUAGGAGAUGGAAACGUCUUAUAAUACCCCAUAACAACAGAGGCUGCAUGGCCUUUGUUUGAAAGAUUCAUUGGAUACGGAUUGGCUCGCGUGACAUUAGCUAGUCGGCGGGGUAACGGCCCACCUAGCCGACGAUCAGUAGGGGUUCUGAGAGGAAGGUCCCCCACAUUGGUACUGAGACACGGACCAAACUCC
rnacentral:rRNA from 1 species